CAGUCGAACGAUGAACCACUUCGGUGGGGAUUAGUGGCGAACGGGUGAGUAACACGUGGGCAAUCUGCCCUGCACUCUGGGACAAGACCUGGAAACGGGGUCUAAUACCGGAUAACACUUCGGGCCUCAUGGUCUGUGGUUAAAAGCUCCGGCGGUGCAGGAUGAGCCCGCGGCCUAUCAGCUUGUUGGUGAGGUAAUGGCUCACCAAGGCGACGACGGGUAGCCGGCCUGAGAGGGCGACCGGCCACACUGGGACUGAGACACGGCCCAGACUCCUACGGGAGGCAGCAGUGGGGAAUAUUGCACAAUGGGCGAAAGCCUGAUGCAGCGACGCCGCGUGAGGGAUGACGGCCUUCGGGUUGUAAACCUCUUUCAGCAGGGAAGAAGCGAAAGUGACGGUACCUGCAGAAGAAGCGCCGGCUAACUACGUGCCAGCAGCCGCGGUAAUACGUAGGGCGCAAGCGUUGUCCGGAAUUAUUGGGCGUAAAGAGCUCGUAGGCGGCUUGUCACGUCGGGUGUGAAAGCCCGGGGCUUAACCCCGGGUCUGCAUUCGAUACGGGCUAGCUAGAGUGUGGUAGGGGAGAUCGGAAUUCCUGGUGUAGCGGUGAAAUGCGCAGAUAUCAGGAGGAACACCGGUGGCGAAGGCGGAUCUCUGGGCCAUUACUGACGCUGAGGAGCGAAAGCGUGGGGGAGCGAACAGGAUUAGAUACCCUGGUAGUCCACGCCGUAAACGGUGGGAACUAGGUGGUUGGCGACAUUCCACGUCGUCGGUGCCGCAGCUAACGCAUUAAGUUCCCCGCCUGGG
rnacentral:rRNA from 1 species